UGAAAAAGACAAAACCUCUUCUUUGAUUCUUGAAUAGGCCUGUCCAAAAAACAAUAGACCCGACCCACCCAGCUUAACCGACCGGACCCAAACCAUCCAUCACUCGACCCAACUUCUUGGCAGUUGAUGGCAAGUCCUUGCCUUCCCAACUCGGUUCCGGCAUGUUGAGUUGCGGGUCUUCCCUUCCAAAACCCGAUCCACCCAACCCGACCAUGAUAGAUAACCCUUACACUCCUCAGUCAUUACUAUUUGUUUCUCAGUCCUCUUUUUCUCUCUCAGUCUCUAGGAUCUCUCUCACUCUUGAUCUCUCAACACUCAAUAGCUAAAACCUCCAACCCAUCACUGAUCUGCAAAUCUCCAUUGCCCAUCACCGAACUGCAAAUCUCCUCCAUCACCCAUCGUCGAUAUGCAAAUACCUUGCUUAGAUCUAGCCAUUGUCUACUCGAGCCUGAUUCAACUCGACCCGCGGUUUUUCAAGAUCGGCAGUGGGUUGACUGUCCUACAACCCGACUGGAUCAGGUUGGUUUUGGGUCGAGCCCAAACCCGAACCGGCCAGACCCAUGGACACCCCUACUCUAGAACUUGAUUUAUUACUUCGUCUAACACUUAUAUAUGACAUUCCUCCCACUCUUAUGUGAUAGGGAUAUUACAUGCAAUUGUUAGUCUACUUUACGUUUUACCCUUUCUUAAUUUUAGCUAUCUAUCCAUAAAUUAAUGGUCCACAAUGGUUUCUCA